AUCGAACGCUUGCGGCAGGCCUAACACAUGCAAGUCGAACGAUUGGCGGACGGGUGAGUAAUGUCUGGGAAACUGCCUGAUGGAGGGGGAUAACUACUGGAAACGGUCGCUAAUACCUCAUACCAUCGGAUGUGCCCAGAUGGGAUUAGCUAGUAGGUGGGGUAAAGGCUAACCUAGGCGACGAUACCUAGCUGGUCUGAGAGGAAGACCAGCCACAGUGGAACUGAGACAGGGUCCAGACUCCUACAGGAGGCAGCAGUGGGGAAUAUUGCACAAGGGGCGAAAGCCUGAUGCAGCCAGGCCGCUGGUAUAAAGAAGGCCCUAGGGUUGUAAAGUACUUUCAGUCGGGAGGCGUUACCAACAGAAGAAGCGCCGGCUAACUCCGUGCCAGCAGCCGCGGUAAUAC
rnacentral:rRNA from 1 species